UGAUUCCUACGGGGGGCAGCAGUGGGGAAUAUUGGGCAAUGGGCGCAAGCCUGACCCAGCAACGCCGCGUGAAGGAAGAAGGCUUUCGGGUUGUAAACUUCUUUUCUCAGGGACGAAGAAAGUGACGGUACCUGAGGAAUAAGCCACGGCCAACUACGUGCCAGCAGCCGCGGUAAUACGUAGGUGGCAAGCGUUAUCCGGAUUUACUGGGUGUAAAGGGCGUGUAGGCGGGGAAGCAAGUCAGAUGCGAAAACCAAGGGCUCAACCUGUGGCCUGCAUUUGAAACUGU
rnacentral:rRNA from 1 species